rnacentral:tmRNA from 1 species
GGGGGCGACCUGGUUUCGACCGGGCGACUUGCUCUACGGACUGCGUGUCGGGGCACUCCGGAGGACCCCGUCAACAACCGGGGAAAAUGUAGAUGCGAACCCCUCGUUCGCUCUCGCUGCCUAAGAACUAGGCAUCGACGUUCUGGGUCACGAUGCCUCCGCGUGAUCCGGUACGACUACCAGGGGGCUGGUUCCGCCGUGUGCCCUCCGCGGCGGGACGAGAUCAAGAAGGGCUGGCGGCGCGGAUGCCUGUCGAACGGCUGCCGCGGCGCGAGACCCCAAUCGAUCGACUACACACGUAGUACGUCCGUAGAGGGGCGCCUUGGGACGCGGGUUCGAUUCCCGCCGCCUCCACCA